GCUUCGAAGUCAAAAAAUCAAAACCAGCGGUUCUGCGCGCGGCUACUGCGGCAUCCUCGCAGCGAUUUAGCUUUAACUUCCAGCGGGAUCUUUCACCUUCCUUGAUGCCAUUGAUGCUGUUCUGAUUGAUCACUUCGUUCUUCACUUAGCUUCCCUGUGUUACUACGUGGAGUGAUUUUGAGAACAAAUCUCCCUGAUAAUUGGCGAGGAUCCGAACCGUGGAUGUGGAAUUUUGAAGCUUGGGGCUCUUGCAUCAUUUUUGGAAAGAAUACGAAUUAAAAAAGGUGAUAAAUAUUUCAUUUUUGCUUGCAUGCAUGAUACUUUAGAAUUGCAAGAUGAUAGAGAGGGUUUGAAUCUGCGACAAGCUACGUGGAGUAUUUGUUUCUUGUACCAUUUUUGGGACACCCAUCUAGAUCAAUCAUAUAUUAAGAUUUUACUUCUGCUCAUUUACGCAACAUUGUGUACUUGUUUUGGAGAGUUAUCUAUCAAAAUCAGAGACUGCAAGAGGAAUGUGUUUGGAGAUAUAUAGUUAGUGACAUUUCUUGAGUCUUUUUCUUUUUGUUGGAUCCAAUGGUUGGAUUCCAAACAGAAAGUAAAUUUCCAAUCUCUUGAUACCUCUCAUCUUUAUUUGAGUGACUUUAGUUGGCACCUUCUAGGAAUGGUUGAGAAUUUAAGACAUCCUUAUUAACGCCCUCAAUAAUUGGCAUGUGAUAUUAUCACUCUGGCCAUGAUGUCGCAUUAAUGUGUGCCAAGAAUGAUUUGCGUUUUGUAUUCUGCAUGAUGUUCCUUUAAACCUUAUUGCAUCUCCUUGUUUUUAGAUGAUGGGCUUACCGCUAUAACAGUCUUGAUUAUAGUAGUGUUUUUUGCAAGUGGAUCUUUUGAGAACAUAAACAUUGAACCCGCCAAAAUCACUGACAAGAGCUUCAUGGUGUUGAAUUCAUAGUUUUGAGUUUGAUAAUUUGGUUAAAGGCAGGUCGUCAUAGAGAUAGAUAUUUGAACUAACUUUGUGCACUUUAAUUUCUAUUUUACCAGUUUAUUUUUUUUAAUUUCCAACUGGGGAACUGUAUUUGAUGUUCCUUGUAUGGUUGCUUUGGAAAACAUUACUUUCAAAAGCUUUUUUUUUAGCAACACUACCCUGGAAUAAUGUUUGGUACCUGGUAGGUGGAAUGCAAUUUGUUGAUUCAGUUUUUUCUUUGAUUUUGUACUUUUAUUACUGUUGAUAAGAAUAUAUUAAUAAAUGGAUUGUUUAUAAUUUCCACAAACAUCUAAAGUGGAUGCUUUUGCCAAAUUUUCUGUGACUCCGUUCUACAUUUGAUUGCUUUGACUUGGAUAUUCCUAUUUUAUAUCAGAUCUGUAAUAAAUACGUUGCUUCUGUUUCCAAGUCCUCUUUUUCGAUAAGUUGAAACUGUGUUCAAGUUUGGGGAGGAUUGAAGCCACAACCAAUGGUAUAGAUUCUGCUGGCCCAUGAACAGGCAUCAAAAUCUUUUCUUGAAACUUAAGCAGCAAAUCUUCUAAGAUGGUCAUAUGACUGCCUGUAAGUUUUCUAAACUAAUCCUGAAAGAUUUACUCCCUUUGUACGUAGCAUUUUUCCACAAUACUGAUGUAAAUAGUUAUUACUUUAAAAUUAACAAUUAACAUAUUUAUAACAACUUGCGGGCCAAAAUCAGAAACUCUCUGUAUCAGUCUUCUAGAGCAUGAAAUGAUAGAUAGCCCAUUAUAUUAAUAGUUAAUUGUCAGAGCAACAGGACUGCAUCGAUACUAAUCAUGCAUGCCAGUUGAGAUCAGACUCAUAUGUCUAGUCACUGUGUGCUAACCUAUCCUUCAACCGCGCCAUUUACAUGUUGCUUCUAAAGGUCUUUCAUGGGCUCUAUGCAGAAAGUGCUUUAGCAAUAACAUGACCUUUAGUUGCAUUGCAUGUUUGCAUGGAUUGCGUAGGCAUUCCUUGUGUAUCGUUUCCAGUGUUCUUUUGGAAGUUAAAAUAAAAAUUAAUGCAACAAAGUAUGUAGUGAAAGGGAAAGGUGGCACUAACAUGGUCAAAAAGGCUGGCAGAGUGAUUUGUUUACAUGCUAGUGUAAUGUGAGCCAUGAACUGGACUUGUCUUUCUUAACAAAGUCUUCAUUAAAUAUGCAUCAUGGGAAAAAAA